rnacentral:rRNA from 1 species
UGGGGAAUAUUGCACAAUGGGGGAAACCCUGAUGCAGCGAUGCCGCGUGAGUGAAGAAGUAUUUCGGUAUGUAAAGCUCUAUCAGCAGGGAAGAAAAUGACGGUACCUGACUAAGAAGCCCCGGCUAACUACGUGCCAGCAGCCGCGGUAAUACGUAGGGGGCAAGCGUUAUCCGGAUUUACUGGGUGUAAAGGGAGCGUAGACGGUAAUGCAAGUCUGGAGUGAAAACCCGGGGCUCAACCCCGGGACUGCUUUGGAAACUGUAUAACUGGAGUGCCGGAGAGGUAAGCGGAAUUCCUAGUGUAGCGGUGAAAUGCGUAGAUAUUAGGAGGAACACCAGUGGCGAAGGCGGCUUACUGGACGGUAACUGACGUUGAGGCUCGAAAGCGUGGGGAGCAAACA